rnacentral:rRNA from 1 species
UGAACGCUAGCUACAGGCUUAACACAUGCAAGUCGAGGGGCAGCAUGGUCUUAGCUUGCUAAGGCCGAUGGCGACCGGCGCACGGGUGAGUAACACGUAUCCAACCUGCCGUCUACUCUUGGACAGCCUUCUGAAAGGAAGAUUAAUACAAGAUGGCAUCAUGAGUCCACAUGUUCACAUGAUUAAAGGUAUUCCGGUAGACGAUGGGGAUGCGUUCCAUUAGAUAGUAGGCGGGGUAACGGCCCACCUAGUCUUCGAUGGAUAGGGGUUCUGAGAGGAAGGUCCCCCACAUUGGAACUGAGACACGGUCCAAACUCCUACGGGAGGCAGCAGUGAGGAAUAUUGGUCAAUGGGCGAGAGCCUGAACCAGCCAAGUAGCGUGAAGGAUGACUGCCCUAUGGGUUGUAAACUUCUUUUAUAAAGGAAUAAAGUCGGGUAUGGAUACCCGUUUGCAUGUACUUUAUGAAUAAGGAUCGGCUAACUCCGUGCCAGCAGCCGCGGUAAUACGGAGGAUCCGAGCGUUAUCCGGAUUUAUUGGGUUUAAAGGGAGCGUAGAUGGAUGUUUAAGUCAGUUGUGAAAGUUUGCGGCUCAACCGUAAAAUUGCAGUUGAUACUGGAUCUCUUGAGUGCAGUUGAGGCAGGCGGAAUUCGUGGUGUAGCGGUGAAAUGCUUAGAUAUCACGAAGAACUCCGAUUGCGAAGGCAGCCUGCUAAGCUGCAACUGACAUUGAGGCUCGAAAGUGUGGGUAUCAAACAGGAUUAGAUACCCUGGUAGUCCACACGGUAAACGAUGAAUACUCGCUGUUUGCGAUAUACUGCAAGCGGCCAAGCGAAAGCGUUAAGUAUUCCACCUGGGGAGUACGCCGGCAACGGUGAAACUCAAAGGAAUUGACGGGGGCCCGCACAAGCGGAGGAACAUGUGGUUUAAUUCGAUGAUACGCGAGGAACCUUACCCGGGCUUAAAUUGCAGAUGAAUUACGGUGAAAGCCGUAAGCCGCAAGGCAUCUGUGAAGGUGCUGCAUGGUUGUCGUCAGCUCGUGCCGUGAGGUGUCGGCUUAAGUGCCAUAACGAGCGCAACCCUUGUUGUCAGUUACUAACAGGUUCCGCUGAGGACUCUGACAAGACUGCCAUCGUAAGAUGUGAGGAAGGUGGGGAUGACGUCAAAUCAGCACGGCCCUUACGUCCGGGGCUACACACGUGUUACAAUGGGGGGUACAGAGGGCCGCUACCACGCGAGUGGAUGCCAAUCCCCAAAACCUCUCUCAGUUCGGACUGGAGUCUGCAACCCGACUCCACGAAGCUGGAUUCGCUAGUAAUCGCGCAUCAGCCACGGCGCGGUGAAUACGUUCCCGGGCCUUGUACACACCGCCCGUCAAGCCAUGGGAGCCGGGGGUACCUGAAGUGCGUAACCGCGAGGAGCGCCCUAGGGUAAAACUGGUGACUGGGGCUAAGU